CGACACAGGAGCUGCUGAACUCACCUCCUCCCACGGACUCACGGACUCUCCAGAUACAUAUGGAAGAGUUUCCUCUGAAAAAAAAAACUCCAAAACCAGCUGAGUGACCCCUACGCAUCAAGAGAAUGAGAAAAACCUCACAUGGAAGCAGCCUGAGCCCAUCCACACCCCAGUCCCUUGAGGGUCCUUCCAAAGCUUCUGCUGUUGCUUCUUCUUGACUGAUGUCAACCAAGAUGACCAACCUGCUUGUUAUGGUGUUUUCUAACUGUGCAAGUAAGCUUAGCCACUGUGUUGAGCAACCUAGAAACUCCAGGAACGUAACAUCCUGGAGCAGCCCUCCAACAACGACAGUCGACAGUGGGUGGACAAACCUGGCAGCCUCCUCGCUCCUCAGUUGGAUUAGCUCUGGGACACAUUCUUCGUUCAUCUCCGAGUUCCCCUGAGGGACUGAGCUCCAGUUGUCCUGUCUGGUAGAACUGCACGUCCAUCUGGAUGGAGCCAUCAAGCCUGAAACCAUCUUAUAUUAUGGCAGGAAGCGGGGCAUCACCCUCCCUGCCGACACACCAGAGGAGCUGCAGGACAUCAUCGGCAUGGACAAGCCGCUCAGCCUCCCGGGCUUCCUGGCCAAGUUCGCCUACUACAUGCCCGCCAUCGCCUGUCCACAGUCCUGUGAGCUAGACACACUCCUCAUUUGCAGAGGAGGAAAUGAAGGCUCAGGAAAGUGAAGGAACUUGCCCAGGACCACACAGCUGGCAAGGGGUGAAGCCCAGAUUCUCGUCCUGAUGUCGCCUUGAGCCUCCUGGCACGAGGCAGAGUUUCCCAAGGGGCUGCCGGGAGGCCAUCAAAAGGACUGCCUACGAGUUUGUGGAGAUGAAGGCCAAGGAGGGCGUGGUGUACGUGGAGGUGCGCUACAGCCCGCACCUGCUGGCCAACUCCAAAGUGGAGCCGAUCCCCUGGAACCAGGCUGAAGGGGACCUCACCCCGGAUGAGGUGGUGUGUCUAGUGAACCAGGGCCUGCAAGACGGAGAGCGAGACUUCGGGGUGAAGGUGCGGUCCAUCCUGUGCUGCAUGCGCCACCAGCCCAGCUGGUCCCCCGAGGUGGUGGAGCUGUGUAAGAAGUACCAGCAGCAGACCGUGGUGGCCAUCGACCUGGCCGGAGAUGAGACCAUCCAAGGCAGCACCCUCUUCCCUGAACAUGUGCAGGCCUACGCGGAGGCCGUGAAGAGCGGCGUCCACCGCACGGUCCACGCCGGGGAGGUGGGCUCGGCCGAGGUGGUGAGAGAGGCCGUGGACGUGCUCAAGACCGAGAGGCUGGGGCACGGCUACCACACUCUGGAGGACCCGGCCCUCUACAACAGGCUGCGGCAGGAAAACAUGCACUUCGAGGUCUGCCCCUGGUCCAGCUACCUCACCGGCUCCUGGAAGCCAGGCACGGAGCAUGCAGUCGUUCGGUUCAAAAACGACCAGGCUAAUUACUCCCUCAACACGGAUGACCCACUCAUCUUCAAGUCCACCCUGGACACUGAUUACCAGAUGACCAAACAGGACAUGGGCUUCACUGAAGAGGAGUUUAAGAGACUGGCCACUCAGAGACCCCAGGAUGAGCCCUUGAUUUCCGUGGUUCUGACAUCCCAAGUCUGUCCCUGCAGGACUGUCUCUCUGGCGCCACACAUCCCACCCCGUCUCUCAAAGGUUUCUCCAACCUCCCUGCCACAUCUGUGUAUCACGUCGUGCCACGUUAAGAACCCAGAACCUCACAGUCUCUGCUCUGGCGGGUGCUGCCGCGUGACCUUGGACAAGGCCUCGCCACUCUGAGCUUAAUGAAUUGCCCAUGUUUAAUGGACUGUCACUAGAUUGCUAAGGACUCCCUCCUAUGCUCUCUGGUUUCACACUGUCUGCCGUGCUGGCCCUUCCAGAACAUCAAUGCGGCAAAGUCCAGUUUCCUCCCAGAAGAUGAGAAGAGGGAGCUUCUUGAUCUGCUCUAUAAAGCCUACGGGAUGCCACCUUUGGCCUCUGCAGGGAGACUAUGAUUUCCAGAGUCAGCUACUGACGCUCGUGAAGCCCACAUGCCUGUUUCUGUACACACGUAUACCUCCGCCUGGCCGUGUCUCUCCUCUGAUUGUGUGCCCGGGCCAGGAUCAGGGCCUGUGGCUGGUUGAAUCUGAAUCCCUCCCUCCUCUGGUAACCUGUGCUGAAAAUCUGGUGCUUAAUAAAGAAAACAGCAGCUGGG